rnacentral:rRNA from 1 species
AUUGAACGCUGGCGGCAUGCUUUACACAUGCAAGUCGAACGGUAACAGGCCGCAAGGUGCUGACGAGCGGCGGACGGGGGAGUAAUGCAUCGGAACGUGCCCAGUCGCGGGGGAUAACUACUCGAAAGAGUAGCUAAUACCGCAUACGAGCUAUGGAUGAAAGCGGGGGACCGUAAGGCCUCGCGCGAUUUGAGCGGCCGAUGUCAGAUUAGGGAGUUGGUGGGGUAAAGGCUCACCAAGCCAACGAUCUGUAGCUGGUCUGAGAGGACGACCAGCCACACUGGAACUGAGACACGGCCCAGACUCCUACGGGAGGCAGCAGUGGGGAAUUUUGCACAAUGGGCGCAAGCCUGAUCCAGCAAUGCCGCGUGCAGGAAGAAGGCCUUCGGGUUGUAAACUGCUUUUGUACGGAACGAAACGGCUCUGGUUAAUACCCGGGCCUAAUGACGGUACCGUAAGAAUAAGCACCGGCUAACUACGUG